CCCUUAGAUGUUCUGGGCAGCACGCGCGCUACAAUGGUCUUCGCAAACGGAUGCAUUCUCGAAGGAGAAUGCCAAUCUUGGAAUCUAUGCCUUGGUCGGGACAGUUGCUUGCAAUUUUUCGACUCGAACCAGGAAUUCCUUGUAAUCGUGAUUCAUCACAUCACGAUGAAUACGUCCCUGCCCUUUGUACACACCGCCCGUAGCUCCUACCGAUCGAAGAGUUAGGUGAAUUGUUUUGAUCGAUAAGAUUUGACUAUGGUCAACUCUCGUUGUGAAAUUCUGUGAAUCUGACUGUUUAGAGGAAGGAAAAGUCGUAACA
rnacentral:rRNA from 1 species